AGGCAGAUAAGAAGCAACAGCAGCAGUGAAACAUUGCAUGCAUUGAAACCAAGAGCCAAAGAAGCCCAGCAGAGGAAAGGAGGAGAAGAACACAUCAAAGGCUGUAAGAUGCCAGUCAUCCAUUCAGCAUUCCUGGGAGCAGCACAGAGGUGGUUUUAUGUCACUGUGAUGGUGCCUUGUGGCUACAGAGUUGGAACCUUCAGGCUCAGCUUUGCAGGACUUCGCUGCUGCUUCCUCGGAGUGAAGAACAAGGUGUCACUAUUAUGAUGUGGUUGCUUCUACCACUGAUGGUCUGUUUUUCUCUACCUGGACACCCAGGAAAAGACAGCCCUGCUUCACUUCAGAUUUGGUGCAUAACCCACCAUCCAGAAUCCCUCCGGUGUCGGCUGAAAUGCUCGUGUUCGUAUUCCAAGGAAAACUGCUGCAGUUGUCUUCAGCUGUUGCCUCUGUUGGUGGUCCUUGUAGAGAAGCCAAGGGCUGGGGUGAUCUCAGGAGAAUGCUCAGGGGGAAUUCAGGGACGAGAAAUUUAAUGGCUGCAGUUUUAUAAUCUUUAUCAGACCAUCAAGGCUGGAAUCGAAAGGUAGGAGUUAUCAUCUCCAAGAGUUCUGUCAUCUCAGUCAACCUUCAAGAGAAAAUCAUUGCAAGACAGCCUCUGUGCCUGCAGAGAACUGGGUUGUGUGGCACAGCCAGGGAUGCAGUUGGCCAAGAGCCACCUCUGACAGCAGCCAAGAGAAACCAUUUUUGGGGAGCUGCUUGUUCAAGUAUGAGUGAGAAUGAGAAGCAACCAUUGAACAAGAGGCACAUUCCUCCAGACAUCUUCCAAAUGGCACAAGGGAGCUGCUGCUGCUGCUUCUGACCUACUGAACUACAUUCAAUCCAGAUGAGAAACAGGAGAACAUGGAGGUUUUGCAAUUUGAGCGGAGCCGUGCAGGAGCUCUUUGGCAGAAGAGGCGGCCUCCCGAGGGAGCUGAACAACAGCUGCACCAGGAGAAAACCCUGCACAGGAGACAAGAACUUCUGAAAUGCCAUCAGGGACUACCAGAAAGCAGCACAACAAACACCCCAAAACACAGGAAGGAGCUGCAGAAAGCCAGUGUGAGGAUCAAAAGAAUAACAUCCCAGGUAAUUGUUAAGCUAGUAAGGAACAUUCCUGACAUCCUUCAAAUCUUCAGCAACGAGCAUGGAAGAAGAGGAAAAGACAGCGACAAGACAUUACUUCCUACAUUAACUCAUGAUAAGAGAUGAAGCCACUUGCAGCAGCAGAGCUGGUGGGGCAGACGACGCCUGUCCUGGUGGAGCUCGGCCACCCGUGUGCCUUACAGCUGCUGAGGAGGUGAGCCAUCCAUGCACAAUGACAAGCCUACCUCAGUGUCCCCUGGCCAGCCCCACAGCUGCUGCAAACCUGGGUAACUGUUGAUCUAACCCACUUUUCCCUCGCUGAGGAGCUGGCCCUGCCCUUCGCUGUCCCUCAGCUGCCUGGUGCUCCCCACGAGUGCCUUGCAAACUUGCCUUUGCAGGAAAUGAGAGGCCCCAGUGUGGUCUAGCUCCCACCCUGCUCCCUGCAGGCAGGACCGUAUUCGUAUGAAGAGCCCACUCUUCUCAUCCACGUGGACAAAACUGAAUUUUGCCACACCACAGCUGAAGGGACUCGCCUGGGGAGCAGUAGAGGGGUUGGUGGAGAGCUGGGGUGGCACAGCGGCAUAGGGAGAGCCAGGAAUGUGGGAUCUGGGGAGGGAGGCAGUGGAAGAGCCAGCACUGUGGUCCCCCAGAGGGAGUUAGCCACCCAGGGAAGGAGAAAGAAGAUGAUUGCUGAUCAUCCUCGCCACUCCUGCAGCUGCCCCAUGCAAACAGUGGCCUCAAACAGCCUUUCCCUCUCCCCACCCUCAAAACGCAACCACUGCCCCAUCCCUCCCUCUCCCUGAGAGGAGAGCUGUCAGUUGUGGUCUCUGAGGGAAAGGCACUGCCCCAGCCAGCCUGGGAUAAAGCUACAGAGUGGAGAAUCAAAGCCCAGAUCCAGGCAGAUACUUUGUGGUAACCUAAGAUCCAAUGGAAAUCUGGGGAGCUUUUUCAAAGGAGCCAGAGAAUACUCCCAGGUAGGUGCUGUUGCUCCAUCCUGACCUGCUGACCCACGGGGGAGGCUGCUGCUGUGUUCACACACACACAGGUGGGCCAAACCAGCCGAAACAGGGUGGAAAUAGCCAAGCCACUGGUUCCCAGCGCUGGCUGCAAAGUCCUCACAUACAGCAGGUAGGACGGGACGUGCCAACAGCCCCAAGCCUGCGAGCACGGAGCAGCUCCACGGAGAGCUGAAGGACCACAAGACCAGGAGCUGACUCAGAGCACAACAAGGAGGCAUCUCCCCAGAGUGGGAUGAGAUGGGAGCAGUAGCUGAACUUCAUCACACAGCUUCUGAUUACAGCUGCAGCUCCAGGACCAGAGAGAGGUCAUGCUGUCUUGCUUUCUGCUGUUUUAAAAUCAGAAUGGAAAACCAUGGGACACUUUUGGGGCAGACUGUGAGUGUAAUACCAAUUGUCACAGGAAUUGGAGAUAGAGAGAGGGCCCUCAGGAUUUGGUCUUGUACCUUCUUUAAAAAAAAACCACCAAACCAAAAUCAUCAUGAAUGGGGCCAAGUGCCAAUAGCAGGAGAGAGUGAGAACUAUUUGGUGUUAGAUUUCUAACUGGAAAUCUGCAGCCUGCCAAGUCCUACUGUUUGCCUUCAUGUAGUAUGAGAGGUUGAGCUGAGACAAGGAGACAAGGGCCUUCCAGUAGACAUUGCACUGACACCUUGUGAGGGAUUGCCCUGCCUGGAGGAGUUCACCUUUUAAAUAAACAUGAGGCGCAAAUCGAGUGCUACAGCUCCAUCUUCCAGAUGGGAAGUGAAGGCAAGGAGCACCUCGUCCAGGUCACACAGGGCACCUGAAUUCAUUUCAGGGCUCCAGGUUGCCUUCAUCUGUAAAAGUCUUCCAAGGACUGGGAGUGAAAUCCAGGUUCUCUGAAGGCAAUGGGAUUUUUGCCCCAGAUUGCCAGGGGGGGAAAGCUUUUUCUCCAAGCACCUGCCCGGAGGUGUCCAGAGGCCUUUAGCAAUGGCAGUGAUUCUGGUAGCACCAACGGCGAUGGCCAACCCUGAAUGUCCCAGAGUGGCUUUUGGGGUGUCCAGCUCCUGGCUAGGAGAGGCCACUGGUCAAAAUGGGCCUUGUUAAACAGCCAAGCAGAAAACAAAUCUGCUCUCAAGGUGGCUCAAAGCUGGAGCUGACUGAACAUUUUCCUGUUGUAUAUAAAUAUCACAUAUGCACACAUGCAUAGUUGCUGAGGAAAACUUUAUAUAUAGGUAGUGUGUCUGUUUUAGAUAGAAAGAUGGAUACAUUUCAUGUGUAUUAACUCACAUAGCUAUAUAUUCCUAACAUCCAAAACAUUGUCUUUUCCUGGUUUUUCCAAACACUUCACCAGCUGAUUCACAGAUGCCAAAUGUUGACACAAUAUGUUAAAUAGAAAUGUUGACAGUUUCCCAUGGAGAGUUUUCUGCAGUCCUGGAGAAGCUCUACUCAACAUUUCUUUUGAGAUUUGAAGGAAUUUGAUUAACAUUUUGCUGUUGCCCAUUCCUGACUACUCUGAGUUGAGCUGGGACCGGAGGAGCACUUGAUGAGUAAGGCUCUUCUGUUAUUUACAGCCUCGUUGAAACGAUGAAGUAGCAGGAAUCUCCUUGGAGAGCAAUGGAUCACAGCACUUGUCAAGAUGAUUUCCAAAUCAAAGAUGAAUUCCAAGGAGCAGCAAGGGUAUAAUUUUAGAGCCCAUCGAGCCAAUGGCAAAAAUCCCAAUUUUUGCACAAUAUUCUUAAUGGAGUCUCUGAAAUUUUGGAGCUUCAUAUAUUAUAUAUUAUAUACUAUAUUAUAUUGUGGCUAAGAGGUCCUGUCCAAAUUCAGCAUCUGUGUGCCUUACAGAGGAAUGACCCUAAAAAGGAGUGAUGAAAAAGGUCAGUCUAGUUUAAAAACAAAUACCGUGUUUAUAACGAGACCGAAGGGACAAUGAAGAAUUCAGUACUCGAUACUGACACCUGCCACUUGCAAAAUAUCCCCACCACUAGGAACAAAUAUUUUGUGAGAGUUUGGAAAAUUCUGGUCACUCAUUUUUUCCUCUUUUGUUUCCAUUUCAGUCGCUGUGCAAUAACAGCACUGACGUUGCUAAAUGUCACGAAGUGAAGCUGAUGAAGUCGCUUCAUGUGCUUGUUCCAGUGUCCCUUUGGAGCUGGAGUUCCUGUGUGCACAGGCAUCAUCCAGGUUCAUCAGACAGCCAAAUCUUCAGCGUGGCAAAGUUGUUCCCAGUCAUUUCUCUGUUUAUUUUCAAUUUCCCAUCCUAUCGGCUCGAACUAAGGUGGGAGGAGGUAAAGCAACUAGAAGGGGCAGUUUUUAAGGUUUCAACUGAGUAGAAGAGCCGGGUUUUACAGAGCAGGGUUUUACAGCGCACGCCGGCCUGUUCAGUCAGCGCAGGGACGCAGGACGGGGAGGCAGGCACAGACAGAGAAACCCAAAGAGCAAAGUAUUUUGCAAAAGCUGUGUGGUUGGAAGGUCUUUGAACUGCUUAACACCAGGAAGAGAUGAAAAGCUCACAGGACAGGUUGUUCUCUGGAGGCUCUCAGCCCAGUCUGCAGGAGCUGAGGCAGUUUGGGUGCAUUUGGGAGGUGGACUGAGGGAGGAAACAUUCAGGUACUUUUCAACUAUGCAACCAAACCAUUUGUCACUUGUCUAGACGCGUGUUUCAGAAGGGAAUAAAAUAAAAGAAAGAAAAAUACCAUGUCUGGGAAUUCUUCCCUGGUGACUGUUGUGCAGCCGAAGAACUGGGUAAUUCCCUUCAACUGAAUAAACAUCGGAGGGAGUCUGAGAGCAAUUUGGCUCCAGAGCAAAUAUUGUUACCAAAUUCUUUGCACCUGCAGUGGUCAGGGAAAUGAUAAUACACCCUCUCCAUGUCCUCCUACCCCCCUUCCACUUUGGGAAGGAGCCCUGUAGCAUCUCAGCUCUGCUACAGCACAAACAUUUGUGUGGGCAGAGCCUCAGGUGAGACCCCGCUGGUACAGCCACGGCCCCGUCCCACCAAACCCACUCUGCUCCCCAAGGAAAGGGAGGGGUUGGUGUCAGACUCACAGGGAGGAGCUGCCUGUCACUGGUGGCCUCCUUGGACAGGGAUUCCAGGACAAAGCAAAUGGAAAGAAGCCAUGAGAUGUGGAUAAUGGUCUCCGCUGUUCCCAGCUCAGGCACAGGAACACAGCAGUAGCUGACGCCCCUGUGAGCCCAUCAGCAUCGGGGCUGCUCAGCUAACAGAGCCUCAAGACAGAUAAAAAAAUAGGGGGGAAAUUGUAAUAUUUGUAAUAUUUUAAAAUGUUUCUGCUGUAAAAGUAUUUUUUCAUGGGAAGUAUCUUGGGCAGAAAUGUAAUUGCCUUAUGAAGAGUUCUUGCAUCACACGGAAUGUAAUUCUGUCCUGAAUCACAAGUUACUGGGCUUAUGCUACUACCUGAAGAUAUUUGACUGUAUUUCCCUUAAUUUUUAGUAAACUUGGUAAAUUUAGUAAAA